rnacentral:rRNA from 1 species
UGGGGAAUAUUGCACAAUGGGCGCAAGCCUGAUGCAGCCAUGCCGCGUGUGUGAAGAAGGCCUUCGGGUUGUAAAGCACUUUCAGCGGGGAGGAAGGCGGUGAGGUUAAUAACCUCACCGAUUGACGUUACCCGCAGAAGAAGCACCGGCUAACUCCGUGCCAGCAGCCGCGGUAAUACGGAGGGUGCAAGCGUUAAUCGGAAUUACUGGGCGUAAAGCGCACGCAGGCGGUCUGUCAAGUCGGAUGUGAAAUCCCCGGGCUCAACCUGGGAACUGCAUUCGAAACUGGCAGGCUAGAGUCUUGUAGAGGGGGGUAGAAUUCCAGGUGUAGCGGUGAAAUGCGUAGAGAUGUGGAGGAAUACCGGUGGCGAAGGCGGCCCCCUGGACAAAGACUGACGCUCAGGUGCGAAAGCGUGGGGAGCAAACAGG